rnacentral:rRNA from 2 species
GAGUUUGAUCGUGGCUCAGAACGAACGCUGGCGGCAGGCUUAACACAUGCAAGUCGAACGCGCCCUUUCGGGGGUGAGUGGCAGACGGGUGAGUAACGCGUGGGAAUUUACCUCAAACUAUGGGAUAACACAGAGAAAUUUGUGCUAAUACCAUAUGUGUCCAUCAAGGGGGACUUUGGUGGGGAAAGAUUUAUCGGUUUGAGAUAAGCCCGCGUUGGAUUAGCUAGUUGGUAGGGUAAAGGCCUACCAAGGCGACGAUCCAUAGCUGGUCUGAGAGGAUGAUCAGCCACACUGGGACUGAGACACGGCCCAGACUCCUACGGGAGGCAGCAGUGGGGAAUAUUGGACAAUGGGCGCAAGCCUGAUCCAGCCAUGCCGCGUGAGUGAUGAAGGCCUUAGGGUUGUAAAGCUCUUUCACCGGAGAAGAUAAUGACGGUAUCCGGAGAAGAAGCCCCGGCUAACUUCGUGCCAGCAGCCGCGGUAAUACGAAGGGGGCUAGCGUUGUUCGGAUUUACUGGGCGUAAAGCGCGCGUAGGCGGAUAUUUAAGUCAGGGGUGAAAUCCCGGGGCUCAACCCCGGAACUGCCUUUGAUACUGGGUAUCUUGAGUAUGGAAGAGGUGAGUGGAAUUCCGAGUGUAGAGGUGAAAUUCGUAGAUAUUCGGAGGAACACCAGUGGCGAAGGCGGCUCACUGGUCCAUUACUGACGCUGAGGUGCGAAAGCGUGGGGAGCGAACAGGAUUAGAUACCCUGGUAGUCCACGCUGUAAACGAUGAAUGUUAGCCGUUGGCAGGUAUACCUGUCGGUGGCGCAGCUAACGCAUUAAACAUUCCGCCUGGGGAGUACGGUCGCAAGAUUAAAACUCAAAGGAAUUGACGGGGGCCCGCACAAGCGGUGGAGCAUGUGGUUUAAUUCGACGCAACGCGCAGAACCUUACCAGCUCUUGACAUCCCGGU